GGGGGGGGGGGUGGGGGGGGGGCGGGGGGGGGGGGGGGGGGGGGGGGGGGGGGGGGGGGGGGGGGGGGGGGGGGGGGGGGGGGGGGGGGGGGGGGGGGGGGGGGAGGGAGGGGGGGGUGAGAGGGGGGGGGGGGGGGGGGGGGGGGGGGGGGGGGGGGGGGGGGGGGGGGGAGGGGGGGGGGGGGGGGGGGGGGGGGGGGGGGGGGGGGGGAGGGGGGGGGGGGGGGGGGGGGGGGGGGGGGGGGGGGGGGGGGGGGGGGGGGGGGGGGGGGGGGGGGGGGGGGGGAGGGGGGGG
rnacentral:lncRNA from 1 species